rnacentral:rRNA from 1 species
CCUACGGGAGGCAGCAGUGAGGAAUAUUGGUCAAUGGACGCAAGUCUGAAGCAGCCAUGCCGCGUGCAGGAAGACGGCUCUAUGAGUUGAAAACUGCUUUUGUACGAGGGUAAACGCAGAUACGCGUAUCUGUCUGAAAGUAUCGUACGAAUAAGGAUCGGCUAACUCCGUGCCAGCAGCCGCGGUAAUACGGAGGAUUCAAGCGUUAUCCGGAUUUAUUGGGUUUAAAGGGUGCGUAGGCGGUCGGAUAAGUUAGAGGUGAAAUCCCGAGGCUCAACUUCGGAAUUGCCUCUGAUACUGUUCGGCUAGAGAGUAGUUGCGGUAGGCGGAAUGUAUGGUGUAGCGGUGAAAUGCUUAGAGAUCAUACAGAACACCGAUUGCGAAGGCAGCUUACCAAGCUACUUCUGACGUUGAGGCACGAAAGCGUGGGGAGCAAACAGGAUUAGAUACCCUAGUAGUC